CCCACGCCCCGGCGGCCCGCCCGCGCCCCCUGCCGGCCUGCCCUACCCAGCCGCCGCUGCCGCAUCUGCAGGAAGGAAGGAGAGGUCAUAGGAGCACAGAGACAACUCAUACAAGGACCUGCUGUCGCGCCACACAUCUGUCAUUGUCGGCACUCGACAGCAUCUCGGAUUGUCGGCAGCCUAUUCUCCAGUUCGUCAUCAUGUCGUCCACAGCAGAAACUGAGCAUUCAGUCAACAUGGUUGAACCUGGUGGACUGCGUAUCAUUGGUGAUGAUGACAUGACUGAAGAGGAGAUGCGAGUUUAUGAUGAAGAACAAAGAAAGAUUGAUGUGUAUGAAAAGGAAAAGAAGGAGAUGGAGGAACGACCUACAAGAAGACAGAUGCAGAAAAGAUCACGGAUGUGGGAUCACUUUUCAGAGGUACUAGUUGGUCGUGUCCUCAAGUUUGGAAAGUGCAAGUAUUGCAAUCGUGAUAUCAAGGCCGUCCCAGAGAUUAACGGUACAUCUGCAUUAAACAGUCAUUUUAGUACUUGCAAGUAUAAUCCUCAUAAUGAUAAGAAUAAGAAUCGAGGUACUUUGCAAGUUAUCCAAGGGGAAAGUCCUUCAGUGCAUAAAUUUGAUCCUGAAGCACUAAGGAAAGUUAUUGCUAAGAUGAUUAUAGUAGAUGAGCUUCCAUUCACAUUUACUAAAAAAGCUGGUUUUAGAGAAGUGAUGUCAAUUGCAUGUCCACGUUUCAAUAUGCCUUCUAGAAGAACAUGCACUAGGGAUGUUGUGAAGCUUUAUUUUGAAGAGAGAGCGAAGCUGAAACUUUUUUCCAAACAAUAAUGUCAAAGAGUGUGUCUCACUACUGAUGGUUGGACUUCUCAAACACAAGAUUGUUAUAUGACAGUCACGACACAUUUUAUUAAUCCUGAAUGGAAUUUGCACAAGAAAAUCAUUAGUUUUUUUCCUAGUAAAAGGUCAUAAGGGAGAUGAUAUUGGAAAGUCCUUAGAGCAAUGCUUGAUGGAGUGGGGAAUAAACAAAGUUAUGACAAUAACUAUUGAUAAUGCUAGCACGAAUGAUGGUGGUGUAGGUUACAUACGGAAGAAAAUGAUCAAAACUGGAAAUAGCAUAGCUGAAGGUAAAUAUUUGCAUAUGAGAUGUGCUGCCCAUAUUAUAAAUCUGAUUGUUACUGAUGGUCUAAAAGAGUUGGAUGAAUCAGUUAAGCAUGUGUGACCUGCGGUUAGAUAUAUAAGAAAUGGGCCAUCUAGACUUACAAGAUUUAAAGAACUUGCUCAGUUAGAAAAGGUGGACAGUGAGGCAUUCUUGAGUUUGGAUGUAUGCACUAGAUGGAAUUCCACAUACCUAAUGUUAGCAACCGCAAUCAACUUUGAGAAAGUGUUUGCGAGGUAUGAGGAAGAAGAUCCACUCUAUACAUUAGAUUUAACUAGUGAGAAAGCUCCUGGUAUCCAUGUUGAUAGUGAUUGGGAGAAUGCUACGAAAAUGGCUGAAUUUCUUGGACAGUUUUAUCACCUUACUCUUAGUGUUUCCGCCACACUCCAUGUCACCAUGAAUCAAUUUGUUAUGGAUAUUGCUGAAAUCAAUGUUGUGUUGGAAGAGUGGGCUGAUAGUGAUGAUAUUUUGCGCAAAACUAUGGCCAAGAAAAUGCAAGAUAAAUAUGAUAAGUAUUGGGGACGUUGGAAUGAGGAGGUGGAGAAUGAAAGGGGAAGGGGAAAGGAACGAAAAAGGAAGAGGAGAAUGUGAACAUGUUUGUAUUUGUUGCAACUGUUCUUUAUCCAAGAUUCAAGCUUUCAAAUUUCACAAAACUAGCAAUUGAAGAAAUGUAUGGUGAGUUAAAUGGAGGAAAAGCUUGGGAGGCAGUGAAAACAUUUAUGCAUGCUUUGUUUUAAGAGUACAAAGCUAAGUAUGCACCAAGUGAUGCAAGCAAACAUGUGCGAGCUCCACAAUCUGAACCAACUCAAAAAAGGGAAGGAAGGAAAUUGGUGUCUCGGAUAAAUAAAAAGUUGAGAGUUGGUGGUGAUGGUGAAGCUAGCAUGAGCAAAUUUGAAUAUGAGAAAUACCUAUAUGAAGAGAAUGAAGUGAAUAGGGAUGAUUUUGACAUUCUAAAAUGGUGGGAGAACAAUGCUGCUAGAUUCCCAAUAUUGGCAAGAAUGGCCUGUGAUGUGUUGGCUAUUCCGGUAUCCACGGUUGCGUCUAAGUCGGCAUUUAGCACAAGCGGUCGCAUCUUAAAUGAAUUUAGAACCUCGCUUACACCAUUCAUGGUCCAAGCUCUUGUUUGUGCCCAAGAUCGGCUAAGGGUUUCUAUUACUAUCAACAUUGAAGAAGAUGAGGAGGAAUUAUUAAGAUUGGAAAAGGAACUAAUUGAAGAGUUUGGUAGUACAAAUAAUUCAAAUCGGAAGCAAGUAGUAGCAAGUCUGUUUGCAAGCCAUCUCGGGCUGAGCCAUCUUGCCCACCUCCAUCCUCUACUUAAACAUUGAUUGGCUCUCUUGGCUGGAACAUGGGAUGGUCAAGAUGCUCAUGUUCAUGAUGGCAAAUUGGGAGUCUUACUGUUGGCUGCUCUUCAACUUCAAGUGUCGGAACUUUGUUAUCUACUAAUCUAUUGUCAUUUAUCACUAUUAGUAUGUGUUGUUGAACACUUGAACUUGGACUUUGGUUAUGUCUAGUGCUGGAACUUGGACUACAAGUUUGUCACUCUGUGUUAUUUAACUUGGACUUGGUUAUGUAUUGUGCUGGAACUUUGGUUAUGUAUCUAUUGAACCUUGUUUAGCUUUGGUUAUUGUGCUG